GGUUAAUGAAGUCAGUGGGUUGAUUUGAGUAAUCCAUUGUUAUGUGGUGAUAUGGUGAGGUUUUAUGAGCUAUAAAAAGCAGACCAAGCAACGUGGAAAAGAAAAGAAGAAAAGACCGCUGCGGGAAUAGAAUAAGCCACGAAUGUAGUUCUACUCCGGUGUUUGUCUCGACCAGCAAUCAAAUCGCCGUGAAAUGAUUUAGUUACUUGAGUUGAUCAUUGCUCGAGACAAUGCAACAAUAAUAUUUGCGAUCGCCGAUCAAUUUUAUCAAUUUUUCUUCAAAUCGGUUCGGUUUGCGCUACGCGGUCUACCCGGUUCGGUCCUGCUAGUCUUCACUGAGUUCCUAAUUCCUGUUUGUUUGUGAUAUACAAGUUUUGUUGCUUGUUCUUCAAAGUGAUAUUUGCCAAUAAUUAGG